GGCUGGUGUGGGGCACGCUCGGUGCCCAGACUGCUUACGGCUGGUCACACCAGAUCAGCCGCGCGGACUGUAAAUCUGCCGGCUCAGCCUUCCCAGGUUCGAAUCCUGGCGCCGCCA
rnacentral:tRNA from 1 species